CGGCAUGGCGGCAGCUACACAUGCAGUCGAACGGUAGCACACGAGAGCUUGCUCUCGGGUGACGAGUGGCGGACGGGUGAGUAAUGUCUGGGAAACUGCCUGAUGGAGGGGGAUAACUACUGGAAACGGUAGCUAAUACCGCAUAACGUCGCAAGACCAAAGAGGGGGACCUUCGGGCCUCUUGCCAUCAGAUGUGCCCAGAUGGGAUUAGCUAGUAGGUGGGGUAACGGCUCACCUAGGCGACGAUCCCUAGCUGGUCUGAGAGGAUGACCAGCCACACUGGAACUGAGACACGGUCCAGACUCCUACGGGAGGCAGCAGUGGGGAAUAUUGCACAAUGGGCGCAAGCCUGAUGCAGCCAUGCCGCGUGUAUGAAGAAGGCCUUCGG
rnacentral:rRNA from 1 species